GCGGGUGCGCCGCGCGGUUGGGGCGCCUGAAGCGGGGAUAAUUGGCGGCGAGGCGCCGGCCCCAGCAUGUCGCUGCCUCUGGAGAAAGCCUCUGAGCUGAAGCAGCUCAUCCACCAGCCGCUGAGCAGGUGCAGCAGCUGAGCGCUGGCCUGGGGUCCUUGGGCGCGGCCGACUAUGGCGCCUGUUUGCCGGGGUCUUGAGCAAAAGCUGUGAGCAGCCCACACAGGAUGGGCAAAGCUUCGGGUUUGAAGCCAGAGGAACUUUAGUCUCCAUGAAAGAGCAAGCGCAGAACGUGCUAGUAAGAGUCUGAGGUUUGCCCUAGAAUUAGCAAUAUACAUGUACAAGUAAUCCACAUCCAUUUUCAAAUAAGGCUAUACUGCAUCACAGAUAGAAUUUCUGGCUUCUCCGGGAAUUUACAUCUUGGACCUCCAUGGGGCAUCAAUCUGCUGGAGCUGAGUGGCCAUUUUCCCCUUCCGUUUCCCCAGUCUCCGUGGCUCCUUAUUGUCUAACACCUACUUUACUCACUUAGAUGACCUGCCUAACCCAGGAAGGAGCCGAGGAGUGGAAGACGACAUUGAGCAGCACCCAACAGGAGAUGACCGUGAUGGUGGACUCAAUGGACAAGAGUUAUGUCGAGCAAGGUGCAAACUGUGGCUAGACGUUCUGGUUCAUGGACACGCACAAUCUGAACGGGAGAGAUGACCACACGAUGGCCACUGAGAUGAGCACUUUGGUGCAUUCCCACACUUAGAAGAAUCACGAGCCGGCUGACGUGCGCUGACAGACUGGGAAGAUUCACCCCGCUAUCCAGGUGGUAGACCAGCGUCAACAUCACACAGAUGAAGUGUGUAGAGGGCUGCGGCUUAAAGGAGGGAUAUGAAGUGACCAUGAGCUUCGGGCCAGGGCUCCUUCUCAGCCCUCCGGGGCCUGAUGCCAGGGACUGUGCUCCCAGCUUAUUCAGCCAGCAGUGGGACCGCAUGAAGGCUGGCAGGAAAGGACCAGACAUUUCAUCCAUGGAUCCAUUUCCUUCCGGCUGUAAGACUUAUUACCUGGAAGCUAAAUCAGCGCUGAGCAAACGUCUGCUGCCAAUCCUCCUCUUUUUACUGAGGAAGAGUGGCCCUGAGCUAACAUCCGUGCCCAUCUUCCUCUACUUUAUAUGUGGGACACCUACCACAGCAUGGCUUGACAAGCGGUGCCAUGUCCGCACCUGGGAUCUGAACCAGCAAACCCCAGGCCGCCAGAGGGGACCGUGUGCACUUAACCACUGCAUCACCAAGCCGGCCCCAUAUAAUUGUGAUUUUAAUCCUAAUAAUUUUGUGGUAAUUACCUCAGAAAGAAACUGUCCACUUAAAACAAUUUUAGACCAACCAUGAUGUCAUGUGGUGGAGAUAAGACAGCAGUAAAGGGACUGGCUAGUGUCAUGGCUAUGGCAGUUGUUAUUGUCCUGCCAGCCCAGAGAGCGUGUUGCUGUGCUGGGAUCUAGCACGGACAGCUUUUGGGGGCAUUUCCAGGAGCAGUGAUGUUCUCUCACCAUAUUUAAAAUGGAGGGCCCACCCCUUUCACAGCCUCUGUCAUUAGCUAAUGCUGUUGGAAAGUCAUUCAA
ensembl:lncRNA